rnacentral:rRNA from 1 species
GGAUUAGAUACCCUGGUAGUCCACGCUGUAAACGAUGAUCACUAGAUGUUCGGACUUCGGUCUGAGUGUCCAAGCGAAAGCGAUAAGUGAUCCACCUGGGGAGUACGUUCGCAAGAAUGAAACUCAAAGGAAUUGACGGGGGCCCGCACAAGCGGUGGAGCAUGUGGUUUAAUUCGAUGAUACGCGAGGAACCUUACCUGGGCUACAAUGCCUCUGACAGACGCCGAAAGGUGUUUUUCCUUCGGGACAGAGUGCAAGGUGCUGCAUGGUUGUCGUCAGCUCGUGCCG